CCGCGGGAUUAGAGUUCGAUUCUGGCUCAGAUUGAACGCUGGCGGCAUGCCUAACACAUGCAAGUCGAACGGUAACAGGUCUUCGGAUGCUGACGAGUGGCGGACGGGUGAGUAAUGCGUAGGAAUCUGUCUUUGAGUGGGGGACAACCCAGGGAAACUUGGACUAAUACCGCAUAAGCCCUGAGGGGGAAAGCGGGGGAUCUUCGGACCUNGCGCUGGAAGAGGAGCCUACGUCUGAUUAGCUAGUUGGUAGGGUAAAGGCCUACCAAGGCGACGAUCGGUAGCUGGUCUGAGAGGACGACCAGCCACACUGGGACUGAGGCACGGCCCAGACUCCUACGGGAGGCAGCAGUGGGGAAUUUUUCGCAAUGGGGGCAACCCUGACGAAGCAAUGCCGCGUGAAUGAAGAAGGCCUUCGGGUUGUAAAGUUCUUUCGUGGAGGACGAAAAGGAGGGUGCUAAUAUCGC
rnacentral:rRNA from 1 species